rnacentral:rRNA from 1 species
AUGGCGGAGGAACCGUCCGCCAAGCGUCAUCAUGCCGAGACGUCGGACAAGAGCAGCAACCUCGUCAACGUUCACGUCCCCGGCAAGAAGCGCGAGUACACAACAACCCUCACAGGGGUUGAGCACCAUGGCAACGAGACACUGGAGAUCAUCUGCACCAGCGUACCAGAAAAGGCCGACGAGGUGAUCUCCAGGCUCUGGAGGAAGCUUGGCGGCAAGAGUCCGAAUCAUAGGAUCGUCGGCGUUGGUGUGCACUACACCAACGAAGAUGAACCUCCCCAGAUGGCAGCAGUCCUGCAGUUGUGCGUCGAUGACCUCUGCUUGGUGUACCACAUCGCAGCGGCCACAAAAUGGUGA